AACCCAUUCUCACUCCAAAGGCGUCAAAAACCGAAGCAUGGUCAAGCGCCCCUAGCGUCACUUUUAUGACGCCAAAUGUGCCUCUCGGCGUCGACUAUCGAAGCACUACGACCUUCAUUGCUUUCAGUGGGAAACUUUUGGCGUCAGAAUUCGACACGAGGACAGGAGAUGUUUAUCGCUAUGAAAUCACGUUCAAGAAGUCUCAUUCAGCACACAUCGCGCGAUACUUGCUAUCAGUUCCACAGUUUGGCUGAAAAGACGUAAAGGCAGUCAGCCCAGUGGUGUUUCUGGAGAGGGAUUCCUUCAGAAAUGGAGAAGACAGAAAGCUGCGGAGGCAGAUAUUUGCAGCAGAUUGUUUGAGGAUAACACUGCAGUUCUCCAUCAUGCACAAGGACUCACCUCGUUAACUCUUUAUCCCCCACACACACAGAUAUGGUCCCUGGAUCAGUGAUUAGACUUUGCAGUGGUUAGAUUUUUGCAGAAGAUGUAACUUUGUUUUAUUUAUAAGCUCAUAAUGAAUACAUUACAGAACCAGUGAUGAAAACAAUAGUUAAAAAUAGUAUUUUUCGUAUUGAUAAAGCAUUUUGUUCUCUUUUUCAAGCUUCAUACAGUGAACUUUUUAGACUUUAAUUAAGAGUUUUAGUAAAGGAGAUAUUCAUACACAGUCAUCCUCUAGCUCCAGUCAUGAAGUGAAUUCAUGAUGUUAUUGUCAAAGCUAGCAGGUGUUUGUUUUCCUGAACACUUUCUCUGUCUUCCAUUGUUCAGACAAUCAGUGUUUAUUUGAUGCUGUGCUGAUUGAGUUUUAUAGAUGAUAUUGCACACUUGACAUGCAUGUCUUCAUGGUGUUUUUUUUGUGAGUUUGAAACAUUU